CCUAUAAGACUGGGAUAACUUCGGGAAACCGGAGCUAAUGCCGGAUAACAUAUAGAACCGCAUGGUUCUAUAGUGAAAGAUGGUUUUGCUAUCACUUAUAGAUGGACCCGCGCCGUAUUAGCUAGUUGGUAAGGUAAUGGCUUACCAAGGCGACGAUACGUAGCCGACCUGAGAGGGUGAUCGGCCACACUGGAACUGAGACACGGUCCAGACUCCUACGGGAGGCAGCAGUAGGGAAUCUUCCGCAAUGGGCGAAAGCCUGACGGAGCAACGCCGCGUGAGUGAUGAAGGUUUUCGGAUCGUAAAACUCUGUUAUUAGGGAAGAACAAAUGCGUAAGUAACUGUGCGCAUCUUGACGGUACCUAAUCAGAAAGCCACGGCUAACUACGUGCCAGCAGCCGCGGUAAUACGUAGGUGGCAAGCGUUAUCCGGAAUUAUUGGGCGUAAAGCGCGCGUAGGCGGUUUCUUAAGUCUGAUGUGAAAGCCCACGGCUCAACCGUGGAGGGCCAUUGGAAACUGGGAAACUUGAGUGCAGAAGAGGAAAGUGGAAUUCCAUGUGUAGCGGUGAAAUGCGCAGAGAUAUGGAGGAACACCAGUGGCGAAGGCGACUUUCUGGUCUGUAACUGACGCUGAUGUGCGAAAGCGUGGGGAUCAAACAGGAUUAGAUACCCUGGUAGUCCACACCGUAAACGAUGAGUGCUAUGUGUUAGGGGGUUUCCGCCCCUUAGUGCUGCAGCUAACGCAUUAAGCACUCCGCCUGGGGAGUACGACCGCAAGGUUGAAACUCAAA
rnacentral:rRNA from 1 species